rnacentral:rRNA from 1 species
AUUGAACGCUGGCGGCAGGCCUAACACAUGCAAGUCGAGCGGAGCGGCGGACGGGUGAGUAAUGCCUAGGAACCUGCCCGGUAGUGGGGGAUAACGCCCGGAAACGGGCGCUAAUACCGCAUACUAUCAGAUGAGCCUAGGUCGGAUUAGCUAGUUGGUGGGGUAAAGGCCUACCAAGGCGACGAUCCGUAACUGGUCUGAGAGGACGACCAGUCACACUGGGACUGAGACACGGUCCAGACUCCUACGGGAGGCAGCAGUGGGGAAUAUUGGACAAUGGGCGAAAGCCUGAUCCAGCCAUGCCGCGUGUGUGAAGAAGGUCUUCGGAUUGUAAAGCACUUUGAGUAGGGAAGCGGUACCAACAGAAUAAGCACCGGCUAACUACGUGCCAGCAGCCGCGGUAAUAC